UACGUAGGUGACAAGCGUUGUCCGGAUUUACUGGGCGUAAAGAGCGCGCAGGCGGUCGUUCAAGUCGAGUGUGAAAGCCCCCGGCUCAACUGGGGAGGGUCAUUCGAUACUGUUCGACUCGAAGGCAGGAGAGGGAAGUGGAAUUCCCGGUGUAGUGGUGAAAUGCGUAGAUAUCGGGAGGAACACCAGUGGCGAAGGCGACUUCCUGGCCUGUUCUUGACGCUGAGGCGCGAAAGCUAGGGGAGCAAACGGGG
rnacentral:rRNA from 1 species